rnacentral:misc_RNA from 1 species
GAUGAAGAACGUAGCGAAAUGCGAUAAGUAGUGUGAAUUGCAGAAUUCAGUGAAUCAUCGAAUCUUUGAACGCACAUUGCGCCCUUUGGUAUUCCUCAGGGCAUGCCUGUUCGAGCGUCAUUUAAACCUUCAAGCUCAGCUUGGUGUUGGGUGACUGUCCGCUUCACCGCGGACUCGCCUCAAAAUUAUUGGCGGCCGGUACAUUGGCUUCGAGCGCAGCAGAAACGCGAACUCGGGCCCGUCGUAUUGGCUCCCAGAAGCUAUCUUCACAAUUUUGACCUCGGAUCAGGUAGGGAUACCCGCUGAACUUAAGCAUAUCAAUAAGCGGAGGA